rnacentral:rRNA from 1 species
UUAUUGGAGAGUUUGAUCCUGGCUCAGGACGAACGCUGGCGGCGUGCCUAAUACAUGCAAGUCGAGCGGACUUGAAGAGGAGCUUGCUUCUCUGAGAGUUAGCGGCGGACGGGUGAGUAACACGUAGGCAACCUGCCCUCAAGACUGGGAUAACUACCGGAAACGGUAGCU